rnacentral:rRNA from 1 species
UACGUAGGUGGCAAGCGUUGUCCGGAUUUACUGGGCGUAAAGAGCGCGCAGGCGGUCGUUCAAGUCGCGUGUGAAAGCCCCCGGCUCAACUGGGGAGGGUCACGCGAUACUGAUCGACUCGAAGGCAGGAGAGGGUAGUGGAAUUCCCGGUGUAGUGGUGAAAUGCGUAGAUAAUCGGGAGGAACACCAGUGGCGAAGGCGACUACCUGGCCUGUUUCUUGACGCUGAGGCGCGAAAGCUAGGGGAGCAACGGG